GAAUGAAUACAUAUGUAAAAAUAUUAAUAUUGUAUUAAAAAUUGUAAUAAAAAAAAAGCGUUUCCAGUUGAAAUGUUUCAGGCAGCUAGCAAAAGUAAGGCUGCCGAUAAGUGUGCCCCUGAUCCUAAAUUUUGUAUGAUGUGUACAAAAGUUGAAAAUUGCUCGUUGCUAAAAGUUCGUUGCUAAAAGUGCAAUAAAACGUGAAGUAGGAAAGAAAUCAAGAAAAGAAAGUGGAAACCGUGCAAAAUUUUUACAAAAGCGGAAUUAUUUUGUCCUCCUCUUAAACAAUGCAGCAACAAAAAGUUUCAAAAAGCUCACUGGUUAAAACAAAACAGGUCGCAAUUUCCUAGCAGAAUUACAAAGUAAAAGUAACGGAAAAACACACGUUACUCUUUUUUCACGCUGUGCAAGCGUCAUAAAGUAGUAAAUGGAUUAACUCAAAAUUGUCGCUUUUUCGUAAUAAUCUUGGAUAUACGUUUAAUCUUCAACAACCCUCAGAAAUAGCAAGUCAUGAUGCUACGACUAUGCAGAUAAAAAUAAUGGAUACAAAAGUGCAUUUCUGGGUCAUUCAAUUG